rnacentral:rRNA from 1 species
GGGGAAUUUUGGACAAUGGGGGCAACCCUGAUCCAGCCAUGCCGCGUGAGUGAAGAAGGCCUUCGGGUUGUAAAGCUCUUUCGGCCGGGAAGAAAUCGCACGGGCUAAUACCUUGUGUGGAUGACGGUACCGGAAUAAGAAGCACCGGCUAACUACGUGCCAGCAGCCGCGGUAAUACGGAGGGUGCGAGCGUUAAUCGGAAUUACUGGGCGUAAAGCGUGCGCAGGCGGUUUUUUAAGACAGGCGUGAAAUCCCCGGGCUUAACCUGGGAACUGCGCUUGUGACUGGAAGGCUAGAGUACGGCAGAGGGGGGUGGAAUUCCACGUGUAGCAGUGAAAUGCGUAGAGAUGUGGAGGAACACCGAUGGCGAAGGCAGCCCCCUGGGCCGAUACUGACGCUCAUGCACGAAAGCGUGGGGAGCAAAC